rnacentral:rRNA from 1 species
CCUACGGGCGGCAGCAGUAGGGAAUAUUGCUCAAUGGGGGAAACCCUGAAGCAGCAACGCCGCGUGGAGGAUGAAGGUUUUCGGAUUGUUAACUCCUUUUGUUAGAGAAGAUAAUGACGGUAUCUAACGAAUAAGCACCGGCUCACUCCGUUCCAGCAGCCGCGGUAAUACGGAGGGUGCAAGCGUUACUCGGAAUCACUGGGCGUAAAGGGCGCGUAGGCGGGAUAGCAAGUCAGAUGUGAAAUCCUAUGGCUUAACCAUAGAACUGCAGUUGAAACUGUAAUUCUAGAGUAUGGGAGAGGUAGGUGGAAUUCUUGGUGUAGGGGUAAAAUCCGUAGAUAUCAAGAGGAAUACUCAUUGCGAAGGCGACCUGCUAGAACAUAACUGACGCUGAUGCGCGAAAGCGUGGGGAGCAAACAGGAUUAGAUACCCGGGUAGUC